rnacentral:rRNA from 1 species
AUAACGGUCCUAAGGUAGCGAAAUUCCUUGUCAGGUAAGUUCUGACCCGCACGAAUGGCGUAAUGAUUUGGGCACUGUCUCAACAGCCCGCCCGGCGAAAUUGUAGUACUGGUGAAGAUGCCAGUUACCCGCAACUAGACGGAAAGACCCCAUGGAGCUUUACUGCAGCUUAAUACUGAAAUUCGGUAGUACAUGUACAGGAUAGGUGGGAGACUGAGAAAUACAGGCGUCAGCUUGUAUGGAGUCGCUGUUGGGAUACCACUCUUGUACUGCUGGGUUUCUAACCUGCGGCCGUGAAUCCGGUCGGGGGACACUGUUAGGCGGGCAGUUUGACUGGGGCGGUCGCCUCCCAAAAGGUAACGGAGGCGCUCAAAGGUUCGUUCAGCACGGACGGAAAUCGUGCAAUGAGUGUAAACGCAUAAACGAGCCUAACUGCGACACCGACGGGUGGAGCAGUAACGAAAGUUGGAGUUAGUGAUCCGGUGGUAUGUGAGUGGAAAUGCCAUCGCUCAACGGAUAAAAGCUACCCUGGGGAUAACAGGCUGAUCUCCCCCAAGCGUCCACAGCGACGGGGAGGUUUGGCACCUCGAUGUCGGCUCGUCACAUCCUGGGGCUGUAUUCGGUCCCAAGGGUUCGGCUGUUCGCCGAUUAAAGUGGCACGCGAGCUGGGUUCAGAACGUCGUGAGACAGUUCGGUCCCUAUCUGUUGCGGGCGUAAGAGAUUUGAAGGGAGCUGUCCUUAGUACGAGAGGACCGGGAUGGACGUACCUCUGGUGCACCAGUUGUCCUGCCAAGGGCAUAGCUGGGUAGCUAUGUACGGACGAGAUAAACGCUGAAAGCAUCUAAGCGUGAAACUCCCCCUAAGAUGAGAUCUCUCAUCCUUCAAGGAGUAAGGACCCAGAAAGACGAUCUGGUUGAUAGGCCGAAGGUGGAAGCGCAGUAAUGUGUGCAGCUGAUCGGUACUAAUAGUCCGAGGGCUUGACCUA